UGGAGAGCACAAUGCUAACUUCCUAAAUCACUGCCUGCUUCAGAGGGGACAACCUCCAGUCACCUGCCACUAGAGAACUAACUGCCUAGUGUCUUCCAGUCUCUGGACUCACCCCACAGGGUCUAGCCUCAGCAUCUUCCUGGAUCUCUUUGUCUUCAUCUCACUGCUUAUGCUGCAUGACCUUGACCGCCUGACCGGAACCUUAAUAACAUCCCAGGAAUCCUAGAAAAUAGAAACUUUCGGAGCCACCCUGAGAACAGCAGUUUCCAGAGAAAGGGGAAGCAGUACAGUGCAGCCAAGCCUCCCAGAUGUGGUUAGGAGACGAAGGGGGAAGGAACAGAGGGGAGGCAAGGAAUAGGAGAAGAGACAGAGAGAAAAGACCAAGGAUGCUUCCUUCAACUUUAUCAGGGUCUUCGGAGGAUGAGCGAGCGGUGAUGUCACAGACCUGUUUUCUCUGCAUAGCCUUGACUGUCCUGGAGCUCGCUCUGCAGACCAAGCUGGCCUAGAACUCAGAGAUCCGCCUGCCUCUGCCUCCCAAGUGCUGGGAUUCAAGGUGGGGCACAAGCCUGUUUUACCAGUCUUGUUUUGGCUUUGAGACAGGUUUUCAGUACUUAACCCAGGAUGACCUGCAACUGGUUAUACAUGGAAACUGGCCUCAAACUCACUGUCCUCCUGCCAAAGGGGUCAGGAUCAGGGGCUCGAUUUUAACGUUUCCAUCAAGAUGGGAUGGCUUGGCAGGUAAAAGCUGUUGCUGCUCGCUCAGGCUUGAUUACCUGAGUUCUAGCCCAAGAAUUCACAAUGGGAGGAGAGAACUGACUCCUGAGGGUUGCCCUCUGACCUCUUACAAGUGCUCCUUCCUUGUACAUCCAUCUCCACAAUCAUACGCACACAUCACGCCCUCCCCCCCAUCCCGAGAAUAAUAACACAAUUUAAAAAAAAUCUUCAUUUUACAUGGAGAAGUGUUUUGCACGUAGGUGCCGUGUGCAUGUCUGGUACCUGUGGAAGCCAGAAGAGGGCACUGGAUGCUCGGGCACUGAGGUUGGGAGCUGCCAUGUGGGUGCUGGGAAUCGAACUGGUCCUCUGCGAGAGCAGCACGCUCUCUAACCAACUGCUGAGCUGUGUCUCCAGCCCCAAUUUUAUUAUUAUUAUUGUUAUUAUUGUUAUUAUUAUUUUUCUUUGAAGGAUCUCAGACUUCUUGAGGGAGGAGGUCAAGGCUUGCUUUAUCUCAUUGACCUUCCAGGGUGCUGGCCAACAGGUAUGAAAGGAGCCUGUGUUCUGCCACUCACAGGCUGCUGUGUGCUAGCUAGCGUGAUAAGGGGUGCACAGACAUUAUCUUAUCUGCGAGUGAAAACCGAGACAAGGAAGGGACAGCCUCUGGAAGGUAGGAGGCGAACGCGACUUCGCUGGUGCCAGGGUGCUGCCCCCUGCUGGUGACUAACAUGGAGGACGACACGCUACAGAAGGUAUCCUGCAGUGCCCGUCGGUCCCUUCUGCGGAAGAAAACCAUGAGAAGGGACUUCUCAGACCGUUGUGAGAAAAGAGAGGUUUCCUCCAAAGCUACAGGGGCCAGGAAGACGGGAAGACAGGGUCAGCGAACCUGGCUCUGGAAAAGAACAGGGGGGUGCCGGUGGGUUUUGUUUGUUUAUUUGUUUUUGUUGCUGCUGCUGUUGGUUGGUUGGUUGUUGGGUUUUGGUUUUUUCAAGACAGGGUUUCUCUGUGUAGCCCCGGCUGUCCUGGAACUUGAACUGUAGUCCAGGCUGGCCUUGAACUAAGAGAUCCACCUGCCUCUGCCUCCCGAGUGCUGGGAUCAAAGGCGUGUGCCGCCACCAUCACACAGCUGAAACCAACAUUUUAAAAAUAACAUGCAUCAGGAUUGAGAGAUAGCUCGGCGGUUAAGAGCACUUAACUGCUGUUGCAGAGAAUCUAGGUUUCAUUGCCAGCACCUGUAUCAGGUGGCUCAUAACCACGGGUAAUUCCAGUUCCAGGGAGGUGAUGUCCUUCGGCCUCUAAGGUCACUUGCAUACACACGGCACACAUAAACUCACACAGGUACACACACGUAAAUAAAACAUAUGAAGGAAUCCUAAACACCUAGAAAAAUAUCAGAGUGCAGUCUCACAUAUUAAGGAUAAGUAUCUUUAGUUUGCUUGUUUUUUUUUGUUGUUGUUUUGUUUUUGUUUGUUUUUCAGGAAACACGUCGCCCAGGCUGGCCUUGAAUUCACUACAAUAUAGCUCCCCUUCUCCCCAGAGUACUGGAAUUGCUGGCCUGUACCACCACACCUACCUCACACGCACGCACGCGCGCGCACGCACACACACACACACACACACACACACACACACCGUUAGAUUUAUUCAUUUUACUUUAGUGUGUAUGUCUGUGCCCCUCAUGCACACUUGGUGAACCAAGGUGGUCACAAGUGGGCACUGGAGUCUCAGGAACCCCAGUACGGAUGCUGGGACUCAAAACCAGAUCCUCUGCAAGAGGAAUGAAUGGCUGCUCUUAACUACGAACCAUCUUUUCAGCCCAGAUCAUGUUUCUUAAACUUAUAUUUCAGGUAGGUGUGUGUGUGUGUGUGUGUGUGUGUGUGUGCUGGUUUGUGAAACAAAAUAUGUUUUCUGGCCCACAGUAUUAAUACCAACAAAUAAACGAAAAACAAACAAACGAAAAACAAAGAAACGGGAAAGGGGAAACCCCUGGAAAACUGAUUGGAAAGUUCAUGGCCAUCGAAGCUCUGAGCUGGAAGAGGAGUCACUGGGAAGCUGAGGAGGCCUGACACUGAAUGUGGUACCCGUUGUCUCCCAAGGGUCUCUGAGUUCCCCAGAAGACGUCCAGGAACCGGAAGCCCCAUCUUGAGGACUGUCCCAUUGAUGGACAGCACCAAUGGUUACAAUGCUCUUCCUAAUGGCCCCUUCAACUUCCACCCUCCAGUUCUCCUCUGCAUCUGUCAGAACCCACACUGAGAGCACAUAAGCAAAUACAUUAAAUAGCUGUCUGUGCUCUCUAAGGUUUUCCUCCUUAGAGAGCGUCAGCGUUUCUCCUUC